CCUACGGGUGGCAGCAGUGAGGAAUAUUGGUCAAUGGACGCAAGUCUGAACCAGCCAUGCCGCGUGCAGGAAGACGGUUCUAUGAGUUGUAAACUGCUUUUGUCCGAGGAUAAACGCAGAUACGUGUAUCUGUCUGAAAGUAUCGUACGAAUAAGCAUCGGCUAACUCCGUGCCAGCAGCCGCGGUAAUACGGAGGAUUCAAGCGUUAUCCGGAUUUAUUGGGUUUAAAGGGUGCGUUGGCGGUCGGAUAAGUUAGAGGUGAAAUCCCGAGGCUCAACCUCGGACUUGCCUCUGAAACUGGUCGGCUAGAGAGUAGUAGCGGUAGGCGGAAUGUAUGGUGUAGCGGUGAAAUGCAUAGAGAUCAUACAGAACCCCGAUUGCGAAGGCAGCUUACCGGGCUACUUCUGACGUUGAGGCACGAAAGCGUGGGGAGCGAACAGGAUUAGAUACCCUUGUAGUC
rnacentral:rRNA from 1 species